rnacentral:rRNA from 1 species
UGAACGCUGGCGGCAGGCCUAACACAUGCAAGUCGAGCGCGAACGGUCUUCGGACUUAUUAGAGCGGCGGACGGGUGAGUAAUGCAUAGGAAUCUGCCCAGUAGUGGGGGAUAGCCCGGGGAAACCCGGAUUAAUACCGCAUACGGUCUACGGGAGAAAGCAGGGGAUCUUCGGACCUUGUGCUACUGGAUGAGCCUAUGUCGGAUUAGCUUGUUGGUGAGGUAAUGGCUCACCAAGGCGACGAUCCGUAGCUGGUCUGAGAGGAUGAUCAGCCACACUGGGACUGAGACACGGCCCAGACUCUACGGGAGGCAGCAGUGGGGAAUAUUGCACAAUGGGGGAAACCCUGAUGCAGCCAUGCCGCGUGUGUGAAGAAGGCUUCGGGUYGUAAAGCACUUUCAGUAGGGAGGAAGGCCUGUAAGUUAAUACUUGCAGGAUUGACGUUACCUACAGAAGAAGCACCGGCUAACUCCGUGCCAGCAGCCGCGGUAAUACGGAGGGUGCAAGCGUUAAUCGGAAUUACUGGGCGUAAAGCGCGCGUAGGCGGUUAGUUAAGCUGGAUGUGAAAGCCCUGGGCUCAACCUGGGAACUGCAUUCAGAACUGGCUGGCUAGAGUACGAGAGAGGGUAGUGGAAUUUCCUGUGUAGCGGUGAAAMCGUAGAUAUAGGAAGGAACAUCAGUGGCGAAGCGACUGCCUGCUCGA